CCUACGGGCGGCAGCAGUGAGGAAUAUUGGUCAAUGGACGAGAGUCUGAACCAGCCAAGUAGCGUGAAGGAUGACUGCCCUAUGGGUUGUAAACUUCUUUUAUAUGGGAAUAAAAUGUUCCACGUGUGGGAUUUUGUAUGUACCAUAUGAAUAAGGAUCGGCUAACUCCGUGCCAGCAGCCGCGGUAAUACGGAGGAUCCGAGCGUUAUCCGGAUUUAUUGGGUUUAAAGGGAGCGUAGGUGGCUUGUUAAGUCAGUUGUGAAAGUUUGCGGCUCAACCGUAAAAUUGCAGUUGAAACUGGCAGUCUUGAGUACAGUAGAGGUGGGCGGAAUGCGUGGUGUAGCGGUGAAAUGCUUAGAUAUCACGAAGAACUCCGAUUGCGAAGGCAGUUCACUGGACUGCAACUGACACUGAGGCUCGAAAGUGUGGGUAUCAAACAGGAUUAGAUACCCUAGUAGUC
rnacentral:rRNA from 1 species